GGCAGUUGGGGGAGGAAGGAAGCACUAAGAGAAGCUCAGUCUGGUUCCUGAGUCUUUUGCUACGUGACUUUGGAUGGCACAAUUAAUUACCCAUGGCAAGGUUUUCAGGAAGAUAAACUUUGGGAAAGGACACCUGCAGUAGCACCAGUAAAUAGUCACCUGGGGCCACAUGAUCCAGACCUCUGUGGGCAGUGUUGUAAAGUGGACUAUGAUAAGUGCGGAAUGAGGCUUCUUCUCAUCCCAAUUGAGAAUAUGAGGACACUGAGACCCAGGGAAACUGAAUCAUCAGAGUUCUGCGGCAGUGCCUGUUCACGAUGGGAAUGGCACAGAGAAAUUUCCACUUCUGACUUUGUCUAAUCUGUACUCUGUUUUCCUAAUUUCAAGUCCAGAAUUUAAGCCACAGGCUAGACACUAUUGGAAAUAAAC
ensembl:lncRNA